CAACGUCAAGAGCUUGCGGGCCUCCUCGCCGCCCCUGCCUCGUCGCGGGCUCGCCACACCGCAGCUCUUCUUGUCCAUUUCUAUCUGGCUUGACUGGUUGCGGCGCGGGAGAAGGCCGAGGCCGCGCUCGCCGCGGGGGACGCCGUGCGGGCGGAGGCCCUCUUCACCGAGAGCAUCGCCAUGGACUGCAUCUUGUACUGACAGAGAAUGUGUUUGGCCGCCAAGUACUCCAUCUUGUACUGACAGAGAAUGUGUUGUAAAGGUGGGCUGCAUCUGGCCUACGGAGGCAGGUGUAAGGCGCCCUCGCAGAUGCCGAGGAAGCGAUAAGGAUAGCUCUCAAAUUUCCUCAGGAACGGAGGAGCACAAGGAGCAGAGGAGCAACUCCUUACAGUACCUUCUUCUUCUUGACGAACAGGAGCUGUGGCGGCAGCUGGGCAGACAAGCAGU